GUGGGCAGAAAGACCGAAACCCACUCACGGCCGCCUGCCGAAUCGCGGCUCUGCUGUUUGUGGGGCGUGCUAGAAACGUGGUCCUAAAAAGAAUGGCGUCCAUUUACAUAAUGCUUUGUUUGCGUUUCGCAAGUUUCUUUCGGUUAAAGCCACAGAAACCCCACCUCCUGCCCUUGUGUCGUUUCCACCGCGGCACCCUUUUCCGACAUUAGAAACAAUAGUGUACGCCUGUGGAGGCCUCGUUUGUUCAGGGGCUGCCGGCCAGGGCUUCAGGACGUUUCUGCGGCUUUCCCCGCGCGGCCUGGGCUCCCGCGGCUGCUUUUCGGGCCCAUGGGCGCAGCCACUGCGCCAGGCUCAAGGGGGGCGGCCCCGUCAGGGCCCGCCAUCUUGGAAGGCCUUUUUUGCCGGUUCUUCCCGCUGAGGAAGUGUCGCUCAAGACGCUGGCCUAUGAAGGAAGACAAACAUAAAGAUGAAGUGCUUAAUUCAAGGUCACACAAUGUCGGGGAUGGACCUCCAGAUUUCCUUACUGGAAAACAAGCUCAGGGCUCCCACUGAUUGUACAUUAUGAGACGGAGUCUUGCUAUGUUGCCCAGGCUGGUCUUGAACUCCUCACCUCAAGCGAUCCUCCCGUCUUGGCCUCCCAAGUGUCAGGAUUACGGGCAUGUGCUAUCACACCCAACCUGAUACAUUGCCUUUAUAAAUUUUUUUUUCUUUAUUCUAAAAACCAGAAAAAACAAAACUGGAUACAUGUGCAGAACAUGCAGGUGAGACGUGGUCUUGUAACACAGUGGUUAAGAAUGUGACUUUGGAGCCAGCCUGCUAGGGGCUGAAUUCUGACUCAGCCAUUUACUAACUGUGUGACCUUAGGGAGGAGGACCUGGUUGAUAGAAGAAUUUAUCUCGUAGUCUUAACAUCCACUGUAAUUCCAAACUUUGAGGACGAUAGAGAUCAGUGGGCUUUGACUGCCCAGCAUGCAGUCUCCAUUCUUAGGUGGGUUCCCAAGCCUGUAAAAUGUAAGCCUUAUGCUGCUGAGGGCCAUCUUGCCACCCUGAGGGAAACGCUGCCUGAGAAUGAAACAAGCAUAAGUAAAAGCUGAGCUGUGAGAUGGAGCAAGAUGAAGGCCACAUGACAUCUUUGGAGCACCUGGAUCUAACUGUGCCUUAAGCUAGUCUAACCCUGAACAUUUCAUCAUUUCAUUGACAUGAGCCCAGGUUUUCUUUUUUUUUGGAUGGAGUCUUGCUCUGUCGCCCAGGCUGGAGUGCAGUAGCUCAAUCUCGGCUCACUGCAAGCUCCACCUCCCGGGUUCACGCCAUUCUCCUGCCUUAGCCUCCCAAGUAGCUGGGACAACAGGCGCCCACCACCACUCCCAGCUAAUUUUUUGUAUUUUUAGUAGAGACGGGGUUUUACCAUGUUAGCCGGGAUGGUCUUGAUCUCCUGACCUCAUGAUCCGCCCGCCUCGGCCUCCCAAAGUGCUGGGAUUACAGGUGUGAGCCACUGCACCCAGCCCUCAGGUUUUCCCUUUUUUUACCCCUCCUUUUGAAAAUUUGAUGUGGAAUUUUGCCACCUGCAGCCAGAAGAGUUUUAACUAAUCAGUGCCAUAAAUUUUAUAUAGUUCUCCUUGCAAAAUGUGGAUCAGCCUUUCUCAGCAAAUCCUUUGUCAUAAAGUGCUGAAUUGUAAGUUUGUCAUGAGAAUCACAUGAGAUCAUGCAUGUGAAGAACCUGGCAUUAUCCUCCUCAUAGAAAAAAACCAGUAAAUAUUAACUACAGGAAGCAAGGAAGGAGUGGGGUGAGGGGAAGAAGAAGGGGUACUGAUUUAAAAGAACCCUGGAGUCCUAAGGAUAAUCUAGGAACCCUCAGACCCAAUCCGAUACCCCUAUUCUAAAUGCUCCUAGUGCCCUGUACCUUCCCCUCAUAAGCCUUCAUUAUCAUUGUAAUGAUAUGUUUAUGUAAUAUUUUGAUUAAUGUCUCUCCUUCACUGACCUAGCAGUUCUAGCAGGGCAGUGAUUUUGCUGUGUUGCAUCCCCAGCACCUAGUCUGGUAUGUGGCAUUCAGCAUAUGUUUAUUGAAUGAAUGGCCAUGUGGUUAUUCAGAUCCUCCUUGAUUAUUGGGGUUAGGAUUGUGGCAGAAGUGGCAAAAUCAGGGAGAGUAGUCCCUGUCCCCUCUGUAUCUUAUACACUGCCCACACUCCCAACACACAUACACAUACAGAGAAUUUUGUCUCAAUUAGAUAAUUAACUUCUGCUUGGUUGUAAACCAAACCACUGGUUCUUAAACUUUCAUUGGAUCAUUUUAUUGAAGAAUUAAAUAGUGUGGUUCUGGCCUAAUGUCUGGAAAGCCUUGCAGAGGAGUGGAUUAGGUCUUUGUGAUAAACAGGCAGCCUUCCCUGCUCCUGUGUCUUUAUAAAAUCUAUUUAACUGGAGUAGUCCACCCUCCCUCAGGCUCUUACAGGAAUAUGUUGGAGGCUGUAGGAAGGUGGGAAACCGAGAGGGAAAGGACUGGGCCGCUGGAGACUUCACUCAUUCCCUAGCAAGAAACAAAAGCAGUAAAAGGUGGCCCGAGGACAACCUGAAGCUCACUCCUUCAGCACUUUUGGCUGGAGGUCACUUGUUGGAGCCCCACUCAGAGCUCAGCACACCACCCCACCAGCAGCCUCCUCCUCCCAGCUGAGGCUGCAUUUCAUCCCUUCCCCCAGCCUGCUUUCCCUGAGAUAGGGGAGUGUUUCCCAGGGCCCAUGUGACUUCCACUGGCAAGUGACGAUUACCAAUGGUUUACUAGUCAGUGAAACUACCAAAGGCUUUUGUGCUGUAGUAAUCCUUUUCCUGUUUAAAACUCUGGGGAUUUUCUAAUGUUGCCAAUAGUUUUUCAAGUCAGCAAUUACUGUGUGGAUUAUGUAAUGGCUCGGUAUUAAAAAUAGAAAAGACUGGAGUUUGCAUCUAUUUUAACCAAAUCUUGAAAACAGAGCAAAGGGAGGGGAAGGGUGGAGAGGGAGAGACCAGAGGAGGAGGGAGAAAAAGAGAUCAUGUGACUGGAUAAGACAGCUCACAAUUCACUGUGCCUUUCUCCCACCAUUUGUGGCCCAAGGACCUGUACUCCCUCCUCAGCCUCCUCUAGGGAGGGGUCCUUGAUGAGAAUUCUGAGGACACAAGACCCCUUGUGGAUAUUUCUUAGCUCAGCCUUGGUGUGCUUACCUGCUUCUGACAAGCAAAGUGGCCAAGUAGGGGAGGGAGUUGAAUCUGAUGUCCUCCACUAAGUCCAG
rnacentral:lncRNA from 10 species